AUAUCAAUAAGCGGAGGAAAAGAAACUAACAAGGAUUCCCCUAGUAACGGCGAGUGAAGCGGGAAAAGCUCAAAUUUUAAAUCUAGCAGAGUUUUCUCUGUUCGAGUUGUAGUUUCAAGAGGCGUUUUCGGUGCGCGCCUGGGUAUAAGUCCCUUGGAACAGGGCAUCAUAGAGGGUGAGAAUCCCGUUUAUGACCCGGAGCGGCGCUCUAUGUGAUACGUCUUCUAAGAGUCAGGUUGUUUGGGAAUGCAGCCUAAAAUGGGUGGUAAAUUUCAUCUAAAGCUAAAUAUAGGCGAGAGACCGAUAGCGCACAAGUA
rnacentral:rRNA from 1 species